GUUUCAUCAUUCUUGUUCUCUUCAUACCAAGCCUUUCAUACUUUGAAGGUGUUGUGAUUUGGGACAGAAGGAAGGCAGGACAGGAGGUGUUUGAUUGGUGUGAUAGACAGGCUUGAAUCAUGUCUGGGAAUGUAUCAGACAGCUCAGGUAUUGGUGAAUCAGCUGAUGAGUUGUUGCAAACACCACAUAGUAGGCGAGCUAAAGUCUGGGAAUACUAUGAGCCAGAUUUGGUAGAGGUGCACAAUGUCCUGAAGGCUGUGUGUAAGUAUUGUUCCAUGAAAUUAGCAGGCAAGUCUGGGACGAAGAGCCUUAGAAACCACAUUGGCGAGUCUUGCCCCAAAAUCGAUGAUGAGUCCAGAAAUAGGUUUCUUGCAACAAUUAAGAAAAAACCAUCAGAUGUGGGGUUUGUUUUCGAUCCUCAGAGAAGCCGUCAGCUCAUGAUCAAAUAUUGCAUCCAUGCCGAGGUUGCAUUCAGGAAGUUUGACGAUCCUUACUUUGAAGAGUGGAUGGACUCGAUGCAGCCCACCUUUAAAGUCAUUCGGCGUCAGACUGUUCGCAACGACUGUGUGGACGCAUAUGAGCAAAUGAAGGAUCAGCUGCGCAUUGAGUUCCAGUCUCUUGAUUCCCGUGUUUGUUUGACCUCGGACAUGUGGACCUCUGUACAAGAACUAGGCUAUAUGUGUGUUACCGCUCACUACAUUGAUGGCAAUUUCAACCUGAAGAAGAAGGUCAUAUCCUUCAAAAAGUCAAGUAUCCGCACACAAGUGCGGCCAUUGAAGAGACUUUGGCAAGUGUUUGAAUGAAUGGGGCAUCAAAAGGAAAUUGUUUACUAUGACCUUGGACAAUGCAGCAAACAACAAACCAGCAGUUGACUCAUUUGUGCAACAUCAAGACCAUGGCAUGUUGUUUGGUGGUGUGGAUUUUCAUGUAAGGUGUUCGGCACACAUCCUUAAUAUCUUAGCUCAAGAUGGAGCAAGAUAUGUGCACAAGCCCAUAGAAAAAAUUCGUGAACUUUUAAGGCAUAUCGCUUCUUCGCCAUUAAGAAUUCAAUCCUUCAAUGUGAUUGCCACAAAUUUGGAUCUUCCUGAAAAGGCUGGUGGCAUAAAUCUUGAUAUUCCAAACCGUUGGAACUCUACAUAUCUAAUGAUUGAAGAAGCUCUGGAAUACAAGGGAGCCCUCAAUAAUUAUGCAAGUGGAAAUGGUGAAAUAGCACCGGACGAUGUGGAGUGGACUAAUGCUGAUGUAAUGUGCACAUUUCUAAAAGCUUUUGAAGAAGCGACAAAGUUAGUAUCAGCCGAUAGAACACUAACAACCCAUCUUUUUUUGCACAUGGUGUUGUGCAUCCGCGACGCGCUAAGGGACCCUCAGUGGAGCACUAGUGGCACUAUGUCAAACCUUGUCUAUGCUAUGGGCCAAAAGUUUGAUAAAUACUGGAAAGAGUCAAAACUGAAUGUUGCAGUUGUCAUCGCAACGGUGUGAGAUCCAACCAAGAAAUCUGACUUCUUGGAAUUCUUCUUUGAAAAGUAUUGUGAAAAUGUGGAUGAUAUUGAGAAGUGUCUAGAAGGUGUAAAAGACAUGAUGAGGUCGUACUAUGAGAAAUACGAGGAAGCCAGAAGAACCACCGAGCACUCGGUAUCUCAGCAAGUCAGCGCCAAUAUAGGAUCACCAGUUCUUGGCAAAAGGAGACUGGAAGAAGAGUUUGCUCAAUACAAGUCAAGAAGGAGGUCCUACAUGCAACCAAAGUCUGAGCUGUACAUGUAUUUGGAGGAAAAUUUUGACAGCUCCGGGGGAAGUUUUGAUAUUUUGAUAUGGUGGAAAACACAUGCUGAAAAAUAUCCCGUGCUCUCAACCAUGGCUCGUGAUUUCCUUGCAAUACCUCUUAGCACCGUGUGUCAUCUGAAUCAGCAUUCAGUUGCAGUGGAAGGACUUUAGGAGAUUCCCGAUGCUCGAUGACGCCCGAAACUCUUGAGGCUUUAGUUUGCAUAAAAGAUUGGCUUAUCAAAAUUCCAAAUAAUGAAGGCCCAAGUGGGACAGCCAAAUGGAGAAAAGGUCUUAUGUUAACAAAUUGGUAUCAAGAAGAAAGCCGGGGUAGAAGAAACCAUUCAGAAAGGGAGAUGGAUGUCCAGCAACUAUGUAAAAUGCAUUCUGUAACUGAGUAAUUGUGUAACAUCCAGCAUUCUGUGUAAUAAUUUUGGACCCCAUGUUGUAACAUCCAACGGCUACUUACUUAGUCAGCAAGCUAUCCUUUUCCUAGUAAAACUGGGUUGCCAUUCUUAUUCCUUGUCCAUGGAUUGAAACUAUGGGUUAAAUCCAUAAAUGGCAUAUGGUUUGGAUUGGUCUGGGUGGAAAACACAUGUAGUUUGGUUUGGUUUGGAUGCUAGCUUAAUUAUUUUGGUUUAGUUUGGUUUGUUGGUGGAGGUGUAGUCAUAUGGUUUGG
rnacentral:rRNA from 1 species